UGCACGGUGGCGCAGUUGGUAGCACUGUUGCCUUCUUGCAGCAAGAAGGUCCUGGGUUCGAUUCCCGGCCAGGGGUCUUUCUGCAU